rnacentral:rRNA from 1 species
CCUACGGGUGGCAGCAGUGGGGAAUAUUGGGCAAUGGGCGCAAGCCUGACCCAGCAACGCCGCGUGAAGGAAGAAGGCUCUCGGGUUGUAAACGUCUUUUAGCAGGGACGAAGCAAGUGACGGUACCGGAUGAAUAAGCGACGGCUAACUACGUGCCAGAAGCCGCGGUAAUACGUAGGUGGCAAGCGUUAGCCGGAUUUAAUGGGUGUAAAGGGCGUGUAGGCGGGAAAGCAAGUCAGAGGGGAAAACCAUGGGCUCAACCUGUGGCCUGCAUUUGAAACUGUUUUUCUUGAGUACUGGAGAGGCAGCCGGAAUUCCUCGUGUAGCGGUUAAAUGCGUAGAUAUUAGGAGGAACACCAGUGGCGAAGGCGGUCUGCUGGACAGCACCUGACGCUGAGGCGCGAAAGCGUGGGGAGCAAACAGGAUUAGAUACCCCAGUAGUC